rnacentral:lncRNA from 1 species
GAGGAGAUUCAAUCUAUGAUGAGUCGAGUUUGGUGGGGAUGGAGAGACGAAUAGGGGUUGGAACAUAUUAGCAUAGGAUCAGAUGUGUUACCCUAAAAGCAUGGGGGCCUUGGGUUCAGGGCAUCCGACUGUUCAAUGUGGCUCUCUUGGGUCGUCAAGUUUGGCACCUUAUCAAUUGCAAAAACACUUUGUGCUACAGGGUGUUAAGUUCAAAAUAUUUUUUGGAUGGUGAUGUGUUUUAUCCUAAAAGUAUGGAUAAGCCAUCCUAUACGUGGC